rnacentral:tRNA from 1 species
GCGGGGGUGGCCGAGUGGUCAAAGGCGCAGGACUGAGGCUCCUGUGGGCGUAGGCCCUUCGCCGGUUCGAAUCCGGUCCCCCGCA